UGAGGAUUGGAAAAAUGAUCUUGAUAGUCUUUUACAACUCUAAGUCAAAAUAGAUGGAUGGAUGGAUGGAUAGACAGACAGACAGGCAGAUGGAUAGAUAGAUAGAUAGAUAGAUAGAUAGAUAGAUAGAUAGAUAGAUAGAUAGAUAGAUGAUAGACAGACAGACAGAUAGAUAGAUAGAUAGAUAGAUAGAUAGAUAGAUAGAUAGACAGAACAUUGAUUAAAUGCAUGUUAUAUACUAUGAGAAGGGAAUUUGUGUGUUGAUUUGAUCAAUCAGAGAUUUGAACUUCCCUUCCAUUUGUUUUGAAUUUGGGUCAGUCAGCAACCACGAAAUUGAUCCCUCAGGCAUUACCCCCUGAGUGGUGCCAGGCUAAUUGUGGAACUGGGAUUGGUUCCUGGGAGGUGAUAUAAAACAGCUAGUGGGUGUAGUAAGUAUUUAUAAAAUGAGACCCAGCAAGAAUCUGGGGGAGGGGGAUUGUUGUUUUCUGAAGUUGAGAUUCAGAGACAAAAACUGAGUUGUUUGGCUAGGAAAUUCUUUCUCUCCUUUCUAUAUUUCCCUCUCAUUAUAUUUAUCUUAUUAAUAAAGCUAUUUGAGCUACUAACAAUCUUGUGAUUUAAGGGUUAAUUCAUGUAAACGGUGACACAUUUUUUUUACUCAUAAUUUAGACAAACCAUUCUAACCAUUACAAUACCGAAUACUGUGGAAAGUGCUUGGGAUCCAAAUGAAAGCAAAAUAGAAAAUCCCUGACCUUACAAAGUUUAUAUUCUAAUAGGAGAAAUAAUAAAAGGAGUAUGAAGAAAGGAGACAGCUACUGAGUAGGAGAUGGAAAAUUCCAUAUACUGAGGAGGAGAGAAGCUUUGGGAAUCUCAUGAGCUGGUGGUCUGAUCCAGGGACUCAGCAAUCAGAAGAACCAAAGGAGGAGUCAUCUUGAGGAGAAAGCUGAAGACAACAACACACAGAAGCUCAGAGUUGGAGAGAGGAUUUGGGGCUGACCCACACCUGAGCAAGAAUUCCCAGCUUCCAUAUUACCAGCAAGUGAUCAUUCGGCUUCAACUUAAAGGGUGAGGAAUUUAAUUAUCUUUAUGGGGCUGCUCAUUUCACUUUAGGACUAUUCUAAAUGUUAAGAAAUUUGUUUUGUUGAAACCUGAAUUCUAAUAUAUUCAUCUGCUACUUCUACCCAUUGUUCCUGAUUCUGAGAGCUUGAAGAAUUGGCAUAAAAUAAAUGAUUAGGACAAAAUGAAUGAAUGAAUGAA
rnacentral:lncRNA from 1 species